UAGGGAAUCUUUCCACAAUGGACGCAAGUCUGAUGGAGCAACGCCGCGUGAGUGAAGAAGGGUUUCGGCUCGUAAAGCUCUGUUGUUAAAGAAGAACGUGGGUAAGAGUAACUGUCUACCCAGUGACGGGUAUUUAACCAGAAAGCCACGGCUAACUACGUGCCAG
rnacentral:rRNA from 1 species